rnacentral:rRNA from 1 species
UACGUAGGUGGCAAGCGUUGUCCGGAUUUAUUGGGUUUAAAGGGUGCGUAGGCGGCUUUGUAAGUCAGUGGUGAAAUAUGGCAGCUCAACUGUCAGGGUGCCAUUGAUACUGCGGAGCUUGAGUACAGAUGAGGUAGGCGGAAUUGACGGUGUAGCGGUGAAAUGCUUAGAUAUCGUCAAGAACACCGAUAGCGAAAGGGCAGCUUACUAGGCUGUAACUGACGCUGAGGCACGAAGUGUGGGAUCAAACAGGGA